rnacentral:rRNA from 1 species
CCCCCGGGAUAACCGCCCGAAAGGACGGGUAAUACCGGAUACCCCCGGGCGCCGCAUGGCGCCCGGGCUAAAGCCCCGACGGGAGGGGAUGGCUCCGCGGCCCAUCAGGUAGACGGCGGGGUGACGGCCCACCGUGCCGACAACGGGUAGCCGGGUUGAGAGACCGACCGGCCAGAUUGGGACUGAGACACGACCCAGACUCCUACGGGAGGCAGCAGUGGGGAAUCUUGCGCAAUGGGGGGAACCCUGACGCAGCGACGCCGCGUGCGGGACGGAGGCCUUCGGGUCGUAAACCGCUUUCAGCAGGGAAGAGUCAAGACUGUACCUGCAGAAGAAGCCCCGGCUAACUACGUGCCAGCAGCCGCGGUAAUACGUAGGGGGCGAGCGUUAUCCGGAUUCAUUGGGCGUAAAGCGCGCGUAGGCGGCCCGGCAGGCCGGGGGUCGAAGCGGGGGGCUCAACCCCCCGAAGCCCCCGGAACCUCCGCGGCUUGGGUCCGGUAGGGGAGGGUGGAACACCCGGUGUAGCGGUGGAAUGCGCAGAUAUCGGGUGGAACACCGGUGGCGAAGGCGGCCCUCUGGGCCGAGACCGACGCUGAGGCGCGAAAGCUGGGGGAGCGAACAGGAUUAGAUACCCUGGUAGUCCCAGCCGUAAACGA